rnacentral:miRNA from 14 species
ACUGAGUUUAUGUGUGUACUUGA